UGAGGAAUAUUGGUCAAUGGGCGAGAGCCUGAACCAGCCAAGUAGCGUGCAGGAUGACGGCCCUAUGGGUUGUAAACUGCUUUUGUAUGGGGAUAAAGUCAGUCACGUGUGAUUGUUUGCAGGUACCAUACGAAUAAGGACCGGCUAAUUCCGUGCCAGCAGCCGCGGUAAUACGGAAGGUCCGGGCGUUAUCCGGAUUUAUUGGGUUUAAAGGGAGCGUAGGCCGGAGAUUAAGUGUGUUGUGAAAUGUAGACGCUCAACGUCUGACUUGCAGCGCAUACUGGUUUCCUUGAGUACGCACAACGUUGGCGGAAUUCGUCGUGUAGCGGUGAAAUGCUUAGAUAUGACGAAGAACUCCGAUUGCGAAGGCAGCUGACGGGAGCGCAACUGACGCUGAAGCUCGAAGGUGCGGGUAUCGAACAGGAUUAGAUACCCUGGUAGUCCGCACAGUAAACGAUGGAUGCCCGCUGUUGGUACGUGGUAUCAGCGGCUAAGCGAAAGCAUUAAGCAUCCCACCUGGGGAGUACNCCGGCNACGGU
rnacentral:rRNA from 1 species